rnacentral:rRNA from 1 species
GAUGACCGCUGGCGGCGUGCUUAACACGUGCAAGUCGAACGAAGCACUUUAUUUGAUUUCCUUCGGGAUUGAUUAUUUUGUGACUGAGUGGCGGACGGGUGAGUAACGCGUGGGUAACCUGCCUUGUACAGGGGGAUAACAGUUGGAAAAGGGCUGUUAAUACCCCAUAAGCGCCACGCCAUCGCAUGGAUGCAGUGUGAAAAAACUCCGGUGGUAUAAGAUGGACCCGCGUUGGAUUAGCUAGUUGGUGAGGUAACGGCCCACCAAGGCGACGAUCCAUAGCCGACCUGAGAGGGUGACCGGCCACAUUGGGACUGAGACACGGCCCAAACUCCUACGGGAGGCAGCAGUGGGGAAUAUUGCACAAUGGGCGAAAGCCUGAUGCAGCGACGCCGCGUGAGCGAAGAAGUAUUUCGGUAUGUAAAGCUCUAUCAGCAGGGAAGAUAAUGACGGUACCUGACUAAGAAGCACCGGCUAAAUACGUGCCAGCAGCCGCGGUAAUACGUAUGGUGCAAGCGUUAUCCGGAUUUACUGGGUGUAAAGGGAGCGCAGGCGGUGCGGCAAGUCUGAUGUGAAAGCCCGGGGCUCAACCCCGGUACUGCAUUGGAAACUGUCGUACUAGAGUGUCGGAGGGGUAAGCGGAAUUCCUAGUGUAGCGGUGAAAUGCGUAGAUAUUAGGAGGAACACCAGUGGCGAAGGCGGCUUACUGGACGAUAACUGACGCUGAGGCUCGAAAGCGUGGGGAGCAAACAGGAUUAGAUACCCUGGUAGUCCACGCCGUAAACG